UAUCUCUGUAGAGUCUGCAUAUCAAUAAGCGGAGGAAAAGAAACUAACAAGGAUUCCCCUAGUAACGGCGAGUGAAGCGGGAAGAGCUCAAAUUUGAAAUCUUAAAGGGUUCUACCUUGACGAAUUGUAGUUUAAAGAAGUGUUUUCUGUUAGAGGUUUGAGUAGCAAAAGUUCCUUUGGAAUAGGGACAUCAUAGAGGGUGAGAAUCCCGUAUUUGGUUAUUCAUUCUAGCUUUGUGAUACACUUUCAAAGAGUCGGAUUGUUUGGGAAUGCAGUCCAAAAUGGGUGGUAAAUUUCAUCUAAAGCUAAAUAUUGGCGAGAGACCGAUAGCGAACAAGUACCGUGAGGGAAAGAUGAAAAGAACUUUGAAAAGAGAGUUAAACAGUACGUGAAAUUGUCAAAAGGGAAGCGUUUGACACCAGUGUUGUUUUUCCGAGAAAUCAAUUACGAAUGGCUUGAUUCUGUGUUGUAUUGACCUUAUCAGCUUUCUUCACUUUUUUCGAGUCUUUCUUAAUGCACUUUUCGGUUAACAAGUCAACAUCAAUUUCUUUUGUUGUAAAAGAGUAUUCGGAAGGUGGCUUUCUUUUCGGAGAAAGUGUUUAUAGCCCUAUACUUCUACAAUCGGAGAGAUUGAGGUCUGCAGCGUAGAUCCUUCGGGGUUAGAUACACUUGUGCUAAGUUGUAGCUUUUCAUAGACAACUUGUUGACUAUGUUUAGUCACGCGGCUUACUCGCUUGUGCUAUUUUACCUACGCUUAGGAUGUUGAAGAUGUAGCACAUCAU
rnacentral:rRNA from 1 species